GGUAGUUGUGAGUUUCCUCUCUCUGGGAAAGGAAACAUAGAUGGGCCAGCAGGAAGGAGUUUGUACACUGGGACAGUCCUGAAGGGAGAGGGUAGCAGGUGACUCCUAAACCAAGCCAGAGGGAAGAGAGGCUCCAGGAAAGAAGCCCUGAGGAUCAGCAGUGUGGCAGGAGAUGGGGUCUCUAGGGGGAAAGCCCUGGGAAGAGUUACCCUGGAAGGCGUGGGACUGUUUGACCUUGCUAGAGGGACAAGUCGCUACACAAACCACUGAGGUCCAGAGGAGAAGGCAGAAGGGCUGUGAUGCUGGAGUUUGUCACGAGGACGUGCUCUGGAACGAUCAGCUCAGCUCCAUCUGGAGACUAAAUGUGCUCAAGAGGAGCCCCCUUGCUAAAAAAGGCCUUGCGAAAACUUCUGGUGAAACAUUCUCAUUCCUUAUCCUCAAAACAGCUACUGCCAUUCAUUCAUCUUGUGAACUAAUCACCGGCACGAUGUUGUUUUGAAAUAGCUAUUUCUGAGUUAUCUGAAAGUAAAACGUGUUGCGAUGAAUUCCUGUUUAUGUAUGUAUUUGCACAUAAUUAAA